rnacentral:rRNA from 1 species
GAUGAACGCUGGCGGCGUGCCUAACACAUGCAAGUCGAACGAAGCACCUUACCUGAUUCUUCGGAUGAAAGUUUGGUGACUGAGUGGCGGACGGGUGAGUAACGCGUGGGUAACCUGCCCUGUACAGGGGGAUAACAGCUGGAAACGGCUGCUAAUACCGCAUAAGCGCACGAGGAGACAUCUCCUUGUGUGAAAAACUCCGGUGGUACAGGAUGGGCCCGCGUCUGAUUAGCUGGUUGGCAGGGUAACGGCCUACCAAGGCAACGAUCAGUAGCCGGUCUGAGAGGAUGAACGGCCACAUUGGAACUGAGACACGGUCCAAACUCCUACGGGAGGCAGCAGUGGGGAAUAUUGCACAAUGGGGGAAACCCUGAUGCAGCAACGCCGCGUGAGUGAAGAAGUAUUUCGGUAUGUAAAGCUCUAUCAGCAGGGAAGAUAAUGACGGUACCUGACUAAGAAGCACCGGCUAAAUACGUG